UCGUACAGGUCUCCGUAGGUGAACCUGCGGAGGGAUCAUUACACAAAUAUGAAGGCGGGCUGGAACCUCUCGGGGUUACAGCCUUGCUGAAUUAUUCACCCUUGUCUUUUGCGUACUUCUUGUUUCCUUGGUGGGUUCGCCCACCACUAGGACAAACAUAAACCUUUUGUAAUUGCAAUCAGCGUCAGUAACAAAUUAAUAAUUACAACUUUCAACAACGGAUCUCUUGGUUCUGGCAUCGAUGAAGAACGCAGCGAAAUGCGAUAAGUAGUGUGAAUUGCAGAAUUCAGUGAAUCAUCGAAUCUUUGAACGCACAUUGCGCCCUUUGGUAUUCCAAAGGGCAUGCCUGUUCGAGCGUCAUUUGUACCCUCAAGCUUUGCUUGGUGUUGGGCGUCUUGUCUCUAGCUUUGCUGGAGACUCGCCUUAAAGUAAUUGGCAGCCGGCCUACUGGUUUCGGAGCGCAGCGCAAGUCGCACUCUCUAUCAGCAAAGGUCUAGCAUCCAUUAAGCCUUUUUUUCAACUUUUGACCUCGGAUCAGGUAGGGAUACCCGCUGAACUUAAGCAUAUC
rnacentral:rRNA from 1 species